rnacentral:rRNA from 1 species
ACCCUACGGGACGCAGCAGUGGGGAAUAUUGCACAAUGGGGGAAACCCUGAUGCAGCGACGCCGCGUGAGCGAUGAAGUAUUUCGGUAUGUAAAGCUCUAUCAGCAGGGAAGAAGAUGACGGUACCUGACUAAGAAGCCCCGGCUAACUACGUGCCAGCAGCCGCGGUAAUACGUAGGGGGCAAGCGUUAUCCGGAUUUACUGGGUGUAAAGGGUGCGUAGGCGGCCUGCUAAGUCUGGAGUGAAAGGUACCGGCUCAACCGGUACAGGCCCUGGAAACUGGCGGGCUAGGGAGCAGGAGGGGGG